AGUGAACGCUGGCGGUAGGCCUAACACAUGCAAGUCGAACGGCAGCACAGUAAGAGCUUGCUCUUACGGGUGGCGAGUGGCGGACGGGUGAGGAAUACAUCGGAAUCUACUUUCUCGUGGGGGAUAACGUAGGGAAACUUACGCUAAUACCGCAUACGACCUACGGGUGAAAGCAGGGGAUCUUCGGACCUUGCGCGAUUGAAUGAGCCGAUGUCGGAUUAGCUAGUUGGCGGGGUAAAGGCCCACCAAGGCGACGAUCCGUAGCUGGUCUGAGAGGAUGGUCAGCCACACUGGAACUGAGACACGGUCCAGACUCCUGCGGGAGGCAGCAGUGGGGAAUAUUGGACAAUGGGCGCGAGCCUGAUCCAGCCAUACCGCGUGGGUGAAGAUGGCCUUCGGGUGGUAAAGCCCUUUUGUUGGGAAAGAAAAGCAGCAGGUUAAUACCCCGCUGUUCUGACGGUACCCAAAGAAUAAGCACCGGCUAACUUCGUG
rnacentral:rRNA from 1 species